CUGGUGCUUGGCCUUAAGCAAGCCCGGCCUAUCCCCUGUAGGGGGUGGGUGAGGGGUGAGGUUGAGAAAGAAGAGAGGGGGAAUUGGGGUGGUUGAGGGGGUUAUAAUUUCUUUAAAAAGAGUGGAGGGGAGAGGCCAUGGCCGUCCCAGCCAAGAAGAGGAAGAUGAACUUCUCCGAGCGGGAGGUGGAGAUCAUCGUGGAGGAGCUGGAGCUCAAGAAGCACCUGCUGGUGAACCACUUCAAUGCCGGGGUCCCGUUGGCCGCCAAGAGCGCAGCCUGGCACGGCAUCCUGAGAAGGGUCAACGCCGUGGCCACCUGCCGCAGGGAGCUGCCUGAGGUCAAGAAGAAGUGGUCUGACCUCAAGACUGAGGUCCGUCGCAAGGUUGCCCAGGUCCGGGCCGCCGUGGAGGGUGGCGAGGCGCCGGGGCCCACUGAGGAGGAUGGAGCUGGUGGGCCUGGGACAGGCGGUGGCAGUGGUGGCAGUGGCCCAGCUGUAGCCCCUGUACUGCUGACCCCCAUGCAACAACGCAUCUGCAACCUGCUGGGCGAGGCCACCAUCAUCAGCCUGCCCAGUACCACAGAGAUCCACCCCGUGGCCCUUGGACCCACGGCCACUGCAGCCGCAGCCACGGUCACCCUGACACAAAUCCCCACUGAGACAGCCUAUCACACGCUGGAGGAGGGAGUGGUGGAGUACUGCACGGCCGAGGCCCCCCCGCCCCUGCCGGCCGAGGCCCCCGUGGAGAUGAUGGCCCAGCACACAGACGCAUCCGUCAAGCCGCAGGCACUCAAGAGCCGUAUUGCCCUCAACUCUGCCAAGCUGAUACAGGAGCAGCGGGUCACCAACCUGCAUGUGAAGGAGAUUGCCCAGCACCUGGAGCAGCAGAACGACCUCCUGCAGAUGAUCCGCCGCUCCCAGGAGGUACAGGCCUGUGCCCAGGAGCGCCAGGCCCAGGCCAUGGAGGGUACCCAGGCGGCCUUGAGUGUCCUCAUCCAGGUCCUGCGGCCCAUGAUCAAAGAUUUCCGCCGCUACCUGCAGAGCAACACACCCACCCCAGCUCCUGCCUCUGAGCCUGGACAGGUGGCCCAGAACGGGCAGCCGGACAGCAUCAUCCAGUGAGGGCAGGGAUGGAGUUAACCUUCUGCCGUGAUUGGACGAAACCUCCGCGGUCUUACUCACCAUUGACCACUGAGACACUUGCAUCUCCCCAGAUCGUUUCCCAAGUUCGCUGUUUUGCUGCCGGUGCCUUGGCCACACGUGACCGAUGGUUACAACUUGAGGCUCCAGAUCUCAGCUAGACAAGUGAAGAUGCUGCCCUUCUCGGCACGAAUGUUUAGGCUUCCUCAGCUCUGCUAUUGCGAUCACAGGAAGAUGCCCCAAAGACGGUUGAGAGGUGACUGCCGUACAUUUGACCUCUCUGCGGAGGCACACGCGCAGUGCCAGCACCAGGGGCAUGGAGAGGGACCAG